CGCGGUAUCCCUGACCGCGCUAAGGUAGCACAAUAAUGAGCCCCCUAAUUAGGGGAUAGAAUGAAUGAAUCAACGAGAAAUAAACUGUCUCUUUUAUAAUUAUUUAAAUUGAUUUUUGGGUGAAAAAUCCCAACUCCCAAACAAAGACAGAAAGACCCUAUAAGCUUUCAUUCAACUAUAUUACAAAUCACAAAAAUAUUUAAUUGGGGCGAUUUUAAGUAAUAAACACUUAUAUAAUAUAGGGAAAUCACCCUCCAAACUUAUCCAUUAGCAUAUAAGUAAGUUACUGUAGGGAUAACAGGCCAAUACUUCUUUAGAGAACAAAUCAACAGAAGUGUUUAGCACCUCGAUGUUGGCUUAGGGCUCCUUAUUCACGCAGAAGUGAAAUAAGGAGGUUUGUUCAACCCUUA
rnacentral:rRNA from 1 species